UAAAAGCAUCACAAAUAUGUGCAAGUUAAGAAAGGUAUGUUGAAGUUAUGCUCAUUCUUACAUAUUUUCAGAUUCAUCCUUGAUUUGCAGUGAGUUUUGAGGCACUGCAGAUUAUGCAAUGGGCAGUUGUUGAAGGAUUGAGGAGCUUCUCCACAAGCAUAGCAACAUAUCUCAACAGGUAGCUUGAUGUCAGCACUUCUGACUGCAUCAACGGCUAAAGCAAACCAUUCGAAGUAUGUGUAGGUGUUAUGAAUUAGUUGAUGUGAGAACCACAGAGAGUUUACUAUCGAUUCAAGGUGUACGUGGUAGUGAUUUUGUUGGGAAUCGGAUUAAGUGUGGAUUUGUGCAACUCAUACUUCUGGUUAUAUUUUUAUUGCAUGUGUAAGUUCCUCAGAUUUGAAUGAAAGUAUUAACCCCGC